rnacentral:rRNA from 1 species
CAGUCGCCACGGUAAUACGUAGGUGGCAAGCGUUGUCCGGAAUUAUUGGGCGUAAAGGGCUCGCAGGCGGUUUCUUAAGUCUGAUGUGAAAGCCCCCGGCUCAACCGGGGAGGGUCAUUGGAAACUGGGAAACUUGAGUGCAGAAGAGGAGAGUGGAAUUCCACGUGUAGCGGUGAAAUGCGUAGAGAUGUGGAGGAACACCAGUGGCGAAGGCGACUCUCUGGUCUGUAACUGACGCUGAGGAGCGAAAGUGUGGGGAGCGAACAGGAUUAGAUACCCCUGUAGUCCCUGUCUCUUAUAC